GGCAAUACCGUGCAAGCAGCGGGGGUAGUCCGUAGGGGGUAAGGGGUAAACGGAAUUGCUUGGCGGAAAGGGGUGGCAGGCGUGGAUGCAGUACCGAUGUGAAAGCCCCGUGCUUAACCUGGGAACUGCAUUGGGGACUGCAUCGCUGGAGUAUGGCAGAGGGGGGUAGAAUUCCACGUGUAGCAGUGAAAUGCGUAGAGAUGUGGAGGAAUACCGAUGGCGAAGGCAGCCCCCUGGGCCAAUACUGACGCUCAUGCACGAAAGCGUGGGGAGCAAACAGGAUUAGAUACCCUAGUAGUC
rnacentral:rRNA from 1 species